UCCAAGGAAGGGUCAGCCUAUUUUUCUCUGUCCUUAUCAUCUUCUUCGCUAUGUACAGCCUAGGGAGCGAACAGCUGAACAUGGGCCACGUCCUCGUGCAGAUUAUCACUAUCGUCUGGGCACUGCUGCCUAUACUUCAAGUUUGCUUCCUUUGGGGUCGUAUGCCAGCUGUGGCACAUUCUAUUGUUGAAUCUAUUCGCUAUCUUUCUACAACCGGUCUAUCCCAAACAUUUUUAAUACAGAUUCAACUGUUCGUCUCCAUUUGUUCCAGUACUAAAAUGGGUAUUAACGUGUUUGGCUUUUUUACUAUCGACUCUCAGA
rnacentral:sRNA from 1 species